GACGAACGCUGGCGGCGUGCUUAACACAUGCAAGUCGAACGGAAAGGCCCUGCUUUUGUGGGGUGCUCGAGUGGCGAACGGGUGAGUAACACGUGAGUAACCUGCCCUUGACUUUGGGAUAACUUCAGGAAACUGGGGCUAAUACCGGAUAGGAGCUCCUGCUGCAUGGUGGGGGUUGGAAAGUUUCGGCGGUUGGGGAUGGACUCGCGGCUUAUCAGCUUGUUGGUGGGGUAGUGGCUUACCAAGGCUUUGACGGGUAGCCGGCCUGAGAGGGUGACCGGCAAAAUUGGGACUGAGAUACGGCCCAGACUCCUACGGGAGGCAGCAGUGGGGAAUAUUGCACAAUGGGCGGAAGCCUGAUGCAGCAACGCCGCGUGCGGGAUGACGGCCUUCGGGUUGUAACCCGCUUUAGCAUGUGACGAAGCGUGAGUGACGGUAAUGGGUAAAGAAGCACCGGCUAACUACGUG
rnacentral:rRNA from 1 species